rnacentral:sRNA from 1 species
UUCUUCCUGUUUACCUGUGUUGUUAUGUAUUUAUUUAUGGGAUUUAUAUUUAUGCCCUUCCUAAACUACUCUCACAUCAUCAUGAGAUGUGAUUUUAAAUCAGACUCUUGCUUUUCCAGUGUGUUGGUGUAUCCGUGCCUUGCUGUGAUGGGAGAUCUUGGUUCAUGUGAUGCCAAGUGUUUUUGGAUUCUGUUGCUUAGGUUCUGGUACCUGCCUCUCACCAUCUGGUUAUCUGAGCACUUAGCUGGUCUUGCUGUCUAUGACAGUGACUUCAACUUUCUGUAAUGUAUCUGUCAGCACUUUUGGGAUACCAGCACCCUCCCAGAGGGACUUGGUUACUGAGAAAUGUAGCACUGGAUCAGCUCUGUUUGCAAAUCGAAACCAGAAUAUACUGUCCCAGCUGAUUUUGGGUUCCUGUGUCCUGAGGGCUCCAGACAGCUUCCUCUGGGCAGAAGUGGAUGUUUCUUCUGUGUCUCAGGUGUGUCAGCAUUCCUUAGAAACCAGUUCUUUCCAUGCAGGAUCUGGGCACAGAGAGUUGUGGAUCACAUUCUUCAUCAGGUGCUUAUUGAAGCCAUGGGUAACAAAACUUAUAUUGUCAUCAAAUUAUGGAUGUAUUUUUACUUAUUCUACUGUCUCAUCUGCUUUGGCAUCAGCGCUGAAUAGAUUUAAGACAUCUGCGCAUGUGUCUUCAGGUGCUGAAGAAAAACACCCUUCUCUGUACAUUGCCUAUUGGGCUGACACUUAAACAUUGCUCUGGGAUGUUGCAAACAGACCAAGCUAGAAAGGUACAAAAUGACUUUAUGUGCCUUAGUUGGAAUGUUGAUCUUAUUCUCUUAGACAAUCAACUUGUCUCUCUCUGCAUCCUAUUACACGCUGAGGACAGAAUAUUUGGAGGAUGUUGUACCUGCCCCCGAAACACUGCAACUCACUGAGUUGGAAAAUUGAGAAACUAUAAAGAAGAGAUUCUACCCUGCACUGUGGAUUCCCAGUGUUUUAUUUUGGAUGCCUUAUUCACCCAAGAGCAACAAGUUACGAAGGCAUCGAGAAAGCAUGGACAACAGCUGAGUCUUAUCACUGUGUGGCAGGGAUGGAUUUCUGGAAGACAUGCAAGAAGAGGCUACUGAUGAGAGUGCACCCCAGUUGCAACAAGUGGCUGCAUUUCUAAGGAAAAGUGACCCUUGCUCAUCCAGCAGUCAUCAGUACUAAUGGAACCCAGGAUUAUUUCCAAGAAGUGCAAAUAUGGGAUGAAAUUUUUCUUUUGAAGAAUUCGAUUGGUUGGCUGAGGAGAGAAUUCAAUGGAUUUCCCAUUGAUGAAGUUGAGAUUUGGACUUUCUAUCUUUGUGACGAACUGAGUUGGAGUUUUGAUGGGGAAUUGCACUGGAACUGUAUAUUGCUUUUGCAUGUAUCCGAUUGCAGCAAACUGAUCCAGUAAAUAGAAGGUCUACAGCAAAUGAGUCAUAAAAGCGCUGCGCAGAGUGUUGUCCCU